AGCUCCAAUAGCGUAUAUUUUAGUUGUUGCAGUUAAAAAGCUCGUAGUUGAAUUUCUGGUGGGGGAAUGCGGUGUGACCCUUAGGGUUAUGACUUGCAAUCUCCGGCCAUCCUUGGGUGGAGCCAUUCUGGCAUUAAGUUGUCGGGGUGGGGAUGCCCAUCGUUUACUGUGAAAAAAUUAGAGUGUUCAAAGCAGACUUAUGUCGUUGAAUAUAUUAGCAUGGAAUAAUAAGAUAGGACAGCAGUGCUAUUUUGUUGGUUUGCGCACCGUUGUAAUGAUGAAUAGGGACAGUUGUGGGUAUUCGUAUUCACUUGUAAGAGGUGAAAUUCUUAGAUUAAGGGAAGACGAACUACUGCGAAAGCAUUUACCAAGGAUGUUUUCA
rnacentral:rRNA from 1 species